rnacentral:rRNA from 1 species
AGAGCUCGUAGGCGGUUUGUCGCGUCUGCCGUGAAAGUCCGGGGCUCAACUCCGGAUCUGCGGUGGGUACGGGCAGACUAGAGUGAUGUAGGGGAGACUGGAAUUCCUGGUGUAGCGGUGAAAUGCGCAGAUAUCAGGAGGAACACCGAUGGCGAAGGCAGGUCUCUGGGCAUUAACUGACGCUGAGGAGCGAAAGCAUGGGGAGCGAACAGGAUUAGAUACCCUGGUAGUCCAUGCCGUAAACGUUGGGCACUAGGUGUGGGGGACAUUCCACGUUUUCCGCGCCGUAGCUAACGCAUUAAGUGCCCCGCCUGGGGAGUACGGCCGCAAGGCUAAAACUCAAAGGAAUUGACGGGGGCCCGCACAAGCGGCGGAGCAUGCGGAUUAAUUCGAUGCAACGCGAAGAACCUUACCAAGGCUUGACAUGGACCGGAUCGCCGCAGAAAUGUGGUUUCUCCUUUUGGGGCCGGUUCACAGGUGGUGCAUGGUUGUCGUCAGCUCGUGUCGUGAGAUGUUGGGUUAAGUCCCGCAACGAGCGCAACCCUCGUUCCAUGUUGCCAGCACGUAGUGGUGGGGACUCAUGGGAGACUGCCGGGGUCAACUCGGAGGAAGGUGGGGACGACGUCAAAUCAUCAUGCCCCUUAUGUCUUGGGCUUCACGCAUGCUACAAUGGCCGGUACAAAGGGUUGCGAUACUGUGAGGUGGAGCUAAUCCCAAAAAGCCGGUCUCAGUUCGGAUUGGGGUCUGCAACUCGACCCCAUGAAGUCGGAGUCGCUAGUAAUCGCAGAUCAGCAACGCUGCGGUGAAUACGUUCCCGGGCCUUGUACACACCGCCCGUCAAGUCACGAAAGUUGGUAACACCCGAAGCCGGUGGCUAACCCCUUGUGGGAGGGAGCCGUCGAAGUGGGACUGGCGAUUGGGAC